rnacentral:rRNA from 1 species
UUUAACGGCCGCGGUAUUUUGACCGUGCAAAGGUAGCGCAAUCACUUGUUUCAUAAAUUGGAACCCGUAUGAAUGGCAAGACGAAGGCUUAACUGUCUCCCCUUUCAAGUCAGUGAAAUUGAUCUGCCCGUGAAGAAGCGGACAUAAAUAUACAAGACGAGAAGACCCUUUGGAGCUUAAGACCUAAACCAACUGUGUAACAAGCUAACCGCCAUUAGCCAAAAUAACCCUUGCACUGGCCUAAGUCUUCGGUUGGGGCGACCACGGAGAAAAAUAAAGCCUCCACGAAGAAUUGGAAAAANNUUUCCUUAAACUAAGAGAGACAUCUCUAAGCCACAGAACAUCUGACUAAAGCAGACCCGGGUGNCAGCACCCGAUUAACGAACCAAGUUACCCUAGGGAUAACAGCGCAAUCCCCUUCCAGAGCCCUUAUCGACAAGGGGGUUUACGACCUCGAUGUUGGAUCAGGACAUCCUAAUGGUGCAGCCGCUAUUAAGGGUUCGUUUGUUCAACGAUUAAAGUCCUAC